UACGUAGGGGGCAAGCGUUAUCCGGAAUCAUUGGGCGUAAAGCGCGUGUAGGCGGCCUGUUGCGUCCGCUGUGAAAGCCCGGGGCUUAACCCCGGGUCGGCAGUGGAUACGGGCAGGCUAGAGGUAGGUAGGGGAGAAUGGAAUUCCCGGUGUAGCGGUGAAAUGCGCAGAUAUCGGGAGGAACACCGGUGGCGAAGGCGGUUCUCUGGGCCUUACCUGACGCUGAGGAGCGAAAGCGUGGGGAGCGAACAGG
rnacentral:rRNA from 1 species